ACGCUGGCGGCGUGCCUAAUACAUGCAAGUCGAACGAGUUCUGAUUAUUGAAAGGUGCUUGCAUCUUGAUUUUAAUUUUGAACGAGUGGCGGACGGGUGAGUAACACGUGGGUAACCUGCCCUUAAGUGGGGGAUAACAUUUGGAAACAGAUGCUAAUACCGCAUAAAUCCAAGAACCGCAUGGUUCUUGGCUGAAAGAUGGCGUAAGCUAUCGCUUUUGGAUGGACCCGCGGCGUAUUAGCUAGUUGGUGAGGUAACGGCUCACCAAGGCAAUGAUACGUAGCCGAACUGAGAGGUUGAUCGGCCACAUUGGGACUGAGACACGGCCCAAACUCCUACGGGAGGCAGCAGUAGGGAAUCUUCCACAAUGGACGCAAGUCUGAUGGAGCAACGCCGCGUGAGUGAAGAAGGCUUUCGGGUCGUAAAACUCUGUUGUUGGAGAAGAAUGGUCGGCAGAGUAACUGUUGUCGGCGUGACGGUAUCCAACCAGGAAGCCACGGCUAACUACGUGCCAGCAGCCGCGGUAAUACGUAGGUGGCAAGCGUUAUCCGGAUUUAUUGGGCGUAAAGCGAGCGCAGGCGGUUUUUUAAGUCUGAUGUGAAAGCCCUCGGCUUAACCGAGGAAGUGCAUCGGAAACUGGGAAACUUGAGUGCAGAAGAGGACAGUGGAACUCCAUGUGUAGCGGUGAAAUGCGUAGAUAUAUGGAAGAACACCAGUGGCGAAGGCGGCUGUCCUGGUCUGUAACUGACGCUGAGGCUCGAAAGCAUGGGUAGCGAACAGGAUUAGAUACCCUGGUAGUCCAUGCCGUAAACGAUGAAUGCUAGGUGUUGGAGGGUUUCCGCCCUUCAGUGCCGCAGCUAACGCAUUAAGCAUUCCGCCUGGGGAGUACGACCGCAAGGUUGAAACUCAAAGGAAUUGACGGGGGCCCGCACAAGCGGUGGAGCAUGUGGUUUAAUUCGAAGCAACGCGAAGAACCUUACCAGGUCUUGACAUCUUUUGAUCACCUGAGAGAUCAGGUUUCCCCUUCGGGGGCAAAAUGACAGGUGGUGCAUGGUUGUCGUCAGCUCGUGUCGUGAGAUGUUGGGUUAAGUCCCGCAACGAGCGCAACCCUUAUGACUAGUUGCCAGCAUUUAGUUGGGCACUCUAGUAAGACUGCCGGUGACAAACCGGAGGAAGGUGGGGAUGACGUCAAAUCAUCAUGCCCCUUAUGACCUGGGCUACACACGUGCUACAAUGGAUGGUACAACGAGUUGCGAGACCGCGAGGUCAAGCUAAUCUCUUAAAGCCAUUCUCAGUUCGGACUGUAGGCUGCAACUCGCCUACACGAAGUCGGAAUCGCUAGUAAUCGCGGAUCAGCACGCCGCGGUGAAUACGUUCCCGGGCCUUGUACACACCGCCCGUCACACCAUGAGAGUUUGUAACACCCGAAGCCGGUGGCGUAACCCUUUUAGGGAGCGAGCCGUCUAAGGUGGGACAAAUGAUUAGGGUGAAG
rnacentral:rRNA from 1 species